GAGUCUGCGUUACACUGGGCACCCCCGGUGACGCGCCACAUUUUCUCCGGUCUCCCGUCCGCAGGUCCCGCAGCCGCGGACGCAGAGUGGAAACGGACGGUCGCCGCCACCGGUUCCCGCACCUGAGCUGAGGAAGGGGGCGGAUGGAAGGAAUCGAAGGGCUCCAAAGAAAAACCCCCGGAGCCAUCAGUGUGGAAGGACGGCAGAGUUUAGAGUCCAGCAGGGCAAGACGUGAACCCGGAUUUUGUGACCCAGCAGCUCUGCAACCGUGGGCAAGUCGCGUUGCUUCUUGGGGCAUUAGUUCCCUCGGGUUUGGAAAUCGAGGACCGUGAUUCAUGUG